rnacentral:rRNA from 1 species
UGUCCUUAGUACGAGAGGACCGGGAUGGACUGACCUCUGGUGCACCAGUUGUUCCGCCAGGAGCAUGGCUGGGUAGC